rnacentral:rRNA from 1 species
UAGAUAGGAACGUGUCCGGGAGUGGGGGAUAACUAGCCGAAAGGUUAGCUAAUACCGCAUAUUCUCUACGGAGGAAAGCGGGGGAACCUGAGGGUAACUGAGGGACCUCGCGCUCGCGGAGUGGCCUAUCUCCGAUUAGCUAGUUGGUGAGGUAAAGGCUUACCAAGGCGACGAUCUAUAGCUGGUCUGAGAGGACGAUCAGCCACACUGGGACUGAGACACGGCCCAG